CUAAGCCAUGCGAGUCGAGAGGURCAASACCUCGGCGCACUGCUSAKUAACACGUGGACARCCUAYCSUKAGGAGGGGGAUAACCCCGGAAAAYUGGGGAUAAUACCCCAUAGAUUAGSGAGGCURGAAUGCCCCYUAGUUCAAAGGUCCGCCGCCUCAGGAUGGGUCUGCGGCSGMUUAGGUUGKUGUUGGGGUAACGRCCCAACAAGCCUUUGAUCGGUACGGGUWGUGGGAGCAAGAGCCCGGAGAUGGAUUCUGAGACACGAAUCCAGGCCCUACGGGGCGCAGCAGGCGCGAAAACUUUACAAUGCGAGAAAUCGUGAUAAGGGAACCCCGAGUGCCCGUAAAUUCGGGCUGUCCGCCAGUGCAAAAAACUGGUGAAGAAAGAGCCGGGCAAGACCGGUGCCAGCCGYCGCGGGUAAUACCGGCGGCUCGAGUGGUGGCCACUAUUACUGGGCUUAAAGCGUCCGUAGCUUGGUUGUUAAGUCUCCUGGGAAAUCCAUCGGCUCAACCGAUGGKCGUUCAGGAGAUACUGGCAACCUAGGGACCGGGAGAGGUGAGAGGUACUCCAGGGGUAGGAGUGAAAUCCUGUAAUCCUUGKGGGACCACYUGUGGMGAAGGCGUCUCACUAGAACGGCUCCGACAGUGAGGGACGAAAGCUGGGGGAGCAAACCGGAUUAGAUACCCGGGUAGWCCCAGCUGUAAACGAUGCGCGUUAGGUGUAUCGGUGACCACGASUCACCGAGGUGCCGWAGGGAAACCGUGAWACGWGCCGCCUGGGAAGUACGGUCKCAMGRCUGAAACUUARAKGAAUUGGCGGGGGAGCACSACAACAGGUGKAGYCUGCRGUUUAAUCKGACUCAACGCCGKGAAGCUCACCGSAUAMGACASAUGAAURAUAUCCGGKUGAAGACUCUGCUUGASUAGCUGAGAGGAGGUGCAUGGCCA
rnacentral:rRNA from 1 species